CUCCCCAUUAUCAUUGUAUAUACUAGAGUCUACUUAUUAUUUUUCCAUAUGUUUUGUCUUCUCUCUAAGACCAUUUUUGGAUCAAUUCAUCUCUGACUAGGGUUGACUCAUAAAUCUCUAGGGUUGUCUUUCAAGAAUAUAUUUUUUAUCUUUUACCUGAGACUAUUUAGGGGUCGACUCAUAAAGUAUGCCAGUCUGCUCCACCGUACUGGGGUCAACUCUUCUUUCACAAGAUUGACUCUUGAAACCUCCCAAAAUAAAGGUUUUUUAUUUGACACUAAGGAUGUUUAGAGAUCAGCUCCUUAUUUUUGGGGUUGACUCUUCUAAGUCAAAAUUU
rnacentral:lncRNA from 1 species